AUACCUACCUUGCAUCGGGAUACCGUGAUCAUGCAGGCGGUUCCCCCGGGGUGUGGUUGCUCCAUUGCACUGCAGAGUGGUUGACCCUUGCGAUUAUUGUUAUUUUUUAUAAGUUUCACUUCUACCGUAUGUGACACACACACACAUU
rnacentral:snRNA from 9 species